UGGGGAAUAUUGCACAAUGGGCGCAAGCCUGAUGCAGCCAUGCCGCGUGUAUGAAGAAGGCCUUCGGGUUGUAAAGUACUUUCAGUCGGGAGGAAGGUGGUAAGGUUAAUAACCUUGGCAAUUGACGUUACCGACAGAAGAAGCACCGGCUAACUCCGUGACAGCAGCCGCGGUAAUACGGAGGGUGCAAGCGUUAAUCGGAAUUACUGGGCGUAAAGCGCACGCAGGCGGUUGAUUGAGUCAGAUGUGAAAUCCCCGGGCUUAACCCGGGAAUUGCAUCUGAUACUGGUCAGCUAGAGUCUUGUAGAGGGGGGUAGAAUUCCAUGUGUAGCGGUGAAAUGCGUAGAGAUGUGGAGGAAUACCGGUGGCGAAGGCAGCCCCCUGGACAAAGACUGACGCUCAGGUGCGAAAGCGUGGGGAGCAAACAGG
rnacentral:rRNA from 1 species